rnacentral:lncRNA from 10 species
CACACUCAAAUCAGAAACCUGCAUCCUUCCCACAGAGACAGCCCCUGCCCUUUGCAUUCUCACCCUGCCCCCCUGCCACCAGUCUGUCCCUUCUAGAAUAUGCCAUGAUCGACUCGUAUGGUCGUGGCAUUUCGAGGUGGGCAUUUUCUGUGAGCGUGGUGCCGAGACCCCAUCCAGCUGUCCAUGUGUUCACAGUUUGUGCCUUCCUAGCCCACGGUUGGGUUUUACCAGAGUGUGUUCGACCAGCACUCAGUAGAGUACACUGGGGCUAUUUCUAUCUGUUGCUGUUGUGAACAAGGUUGCCAGGAAUAUUCCUGUGCGAGAUGUGGGUACAAGCCUUUUCAUGUCUACCACUGAGUCCCGUGUGCCGUUUCGUGAGAGGCUGAGGCACCGCUUCAUUCCACCGCUGAGCCCCGCGUGCCGUUUCGUGAGAGGCUGAGGCACCGCUGAGCCGCGCGUGCCGUUUUUAACUUGAUUAUAAAAUACAUUUAAAGUUCACAUGCA